UACGAAGGGGGCUAGCGUUGCUCGGAAUCACUGGGCGUAAAGGGUGCGUAGGCGGGGUUUUAAGUCAGGGGUGAAAUCCUGGAGCUCAACUCCAGAACUGCCUUUGAUACUGAAGAUCUUGAGUCCGGGAGAGGUGAGUGGAACUGCGAGUGUAGAGGUGAAAUUCGUAGAUAUUCGCAAGAACACCAGUGGCGAAGGCGGCUCACUGGCCCGGUACUGACGCUGAGGCACGAAAGCGUGGGUAGCAAACAGG
rnacentral:rRNA from 1 species